rnacentral:rRNA from 1 species
AGUGAACGCUGGCGGUAGGCCUAACACAUGCAAGUCGAACGGCAGCACAGGAGAGCUUGCUCUCUGGGUGGCGAGUGGCGGACGUGUGAGGAAUACAUCGGAAUCUACUUUUUCGUGGGGGAUAACGUAGGGAAACUUACGCUAAUACCGCAUACGACCUACGGGUGAAAGCAGGGGAUCUUCGGACCUUGCGCGAUUGAAUGAGCCGAUGUCGGAUUAGCUAGUUGGCGGGGUAAAGGCCCACCAAGGCGACGAUCCGUAGCUGGUCUGAGAGGAGGAUCAGCCACACUGGAACUGAGACACGGUCCAGACUCCUACGGGAGGCAGCAGUGGGGAAUAUUGGACAAUGGGCGCAAGCCUGAUCCAGCCAUACCGCGUGGGUGAAGAAGGCCUUCGGGUUGUAAAGCCCUUUUGUUGGGAAAGAAAUCCAGCUGGUUAAUACCCGGUUGGGAUGACGGUACCCAAAGAAUAAGCACCGGCUAACUUCGUGCCAGCAGCCGCAGUAA